UGCUGAGAAAACAUAGGAACAAUAAUUACAUUAACAGGAAGUAGAGAUGAUGUCAUCUAGUGUAUUUGUUGCUUCUGUGCAAUACAACAUGCCAAUGAUUACAUUAAGUUAAUGUACAUGACUACAUUAGCUGAGGUCAUAAUUACAUUUGUUACAUCUGGACAUACUAAUGACAGGAGUAAGCGGAGAGAGGAUGGUAGCAAAAAUGACCAACAUAUGAAACAUGGAGUAUACAAACAUUAGCUAUAUUUGGAUCAAAACAGACGGACAAUUUUGGGCGAAAUAAAGUCCAUGAUGGAUGGACCUGAUAUAGCUGAAAAUUCACCGUCCGUGGACGUCGCCACUGAUGCCAUGGCAAAGCCACGGUGAAAUUCCCCUUUAACCUGUAGUUGUUGCCUUUUUUCAAUGCAGGAUUCUACAUGCAGGAGUUAGUCCGUAGCGUGGUGUCUGGUUUGGGGUAGGGAAAUAUGGCGAAGCGAAAGUGCUGUUCGAGUCUGAUGGCUCCAAGUUGAGUGAAGUUGGUAAGAAUUGAAUGGAAGACGGAGACAACGAAAAAUGGAGCAAACAGACCAAAAGUUGUAAAUGAACAUCGGUUUCUUAUGGAGCGCGAUUCAUCAACAAUUAUGUAUUGUUAGGAGAUCAUCUGAGGUCAGGAAGAUGGUAAAGGAGGCAUUAGGAAAGGUAGAGUCAGUCAGAGUGACCAGUAGUGGUUUUGGUUUGAUGCGUCUCAGAAGAGCUGAAGGAGAGAGCAUUGUUUUUCGGAGCAGGGCACCGAUAAAAUGUGUUAUAUCUGGAGUUUCGUUGGAAGAGUGAAGAGUGUCUGCCUACUCAUGUGAUGCUGCGAUAUGUAAGAUACGCAGUGAGAGCGAUUGUGAAUAAACCACUGCAGUUAUGAAAUUGAUAAAAGAAUGGCCAUGUUUCAAAGUGUGUGCCCACUGAAUAUUUUUGGUAUUUAUUAGGAUCCCCAUUAACCACUGCAAAAGUAUCAGAAUUGUUCACUUCUCUCAUUGACUUCUCAAACCCCGGCUUGGUCCGCUUCACAAGUUCUCUGAAGUCUCGCGUUGUUUGCGUCUCUGGGUUUAGAAACUGGUAGUGGGGGAACAGGAAGUUCCGCGCGGGCGCACAUCAUUCUUCACAAUAAAGGAUACGCCAGAAUUGUGCAGUCGAGAUGACAACUUCUGUGUCCGUUUCAAAUGUAUUACUACUGGCUCCGGUAUUUCCACGACACUCUCCUUCCACACUGAGUCAAAACCUACAGUCACUGGGUCCUGAUUGUGACAGUGGAGCCCAUUUUGAACUGCAGGAUCAAGAGAUAGCAUCAGUGAAGCUGGAGGACUGCAGUCAAACACUGGAACUGAAUGCCAAAAUUAAAACAGAAAAUCUGUUUCUCAUGGACUAGAAUUAAGUCUGAGGCCGGUAACAUCAACAGUAACGACAAACCCAG